GACGAACGCUGGCGGCGUGCCUAAUACAUGCAAGUCGAACGAAGCUGUUUUAACUGGUGCUUGCACCGACUUAAACAACUGAGUGGCGAACGGGUGAGUAACACGUGGGUAACCUGCCCCAAAGCGGGGGAUAACAUUUGGAAACAGAUGCUAAUACCGCAUAACCACAGAAACCACAUGGUUUCUGUGUCGAAGAUGGUUUCGGCUAUCACUUUGGGAUGGACCCGCGGCGUAUUAGCUAGUUGGUAAGGUAAUGGCUUACCAAGGCAAUGAUACGUGGCCGAACUGAGAGGUUGAUCGGCCACAUUGGGACUGAGACACGGCCCAAACUCCUACGGGAGGCAGCAGUAGGGAAUCUUCCACAAUGGACGAAAGUCUGAUGGAGCAACGCCGCGUGAGUGGAGAAGGUUUUCGGAUCGUAAAACUCUGUUGUCAGAGAAGAACGUGUGCGAGAGUAACUGCUCGUGCAGUGGCGGUAUCUGGCCAGAAAGCCACGGCUAACUACGUGCCAGCCGCCGCCGUAA
rnacentral:rRNA from 1 species